AGCAACCAGGAUUAAAUCCCUGGUAGUCCACGCAGUAACGCCGAUAACUGGUUGUCGGCGAUAUCCAGUCGGGUGCCCAAGCGAAAAGCGAUAAGUUAUCCCCCUUGGGAGUACGUUCGCAAAAAUGAAACUCAAAAGGAAUUGACGGGGGGCCCGCCCAAGCGGAGGAGCAUGUGGUUUAAUUCGAUGAUACGCGAGGACCCUUACCCGGGCUUGAAAGUUAGUGACGGAUGCCGAAAGGUGUCUUCCUUCGGGGCACGAAACUAGGUGCUGCAUGGUUGUCGUCAGCUCGUGCCGUGAGGUGUCGGGUUAAGUCCCAUAACGAGCGCAACCCCUAUCGUUAGUUACCAGCACGUGAAGGUGGGGACUCUAACGAGACUGCCGGUGUAAGCCGAGAGGAGGGUGGGGAUGACGUCAAAUCAGCACGGCCCUUACGUCCGGGGCGACACACGUGUUACAAUGGUCGGUACAGAGGGCAGCUACCUGGUGACAGGAUGCGAAUCUCGAAAGCCGGUCUCAGUUCGGAUUGGAGGCUGAAACUCGCCUCCAUGAAGUUGGAUUCGCUAGUAAUCGCGCAUCAGCCAUGGCGCGGUGAAUACGUUCCCGGGCCUUGUACACACCGCCCGUCAAGCCAUGGGAGUCGGGGGUGCCUGAAGUACGUUACCGCGAGGAGCGUCCUAGGGCAAAACUGAUGACUGGGGCUAAGUCGUAACA
rnacentral:rRNA from 1 species